rnacentral:lncRNA from 1 species
CACCACCCCCCUCCAUAUGUCAGCGCCACCCUCCUCCGUCGUCAGCCAGCCACCCUCCCUCCGUAUUCAGCCAGCCACCCUCCUCCGUACGUCAGCCAGCCACCCUCCUCCGUAUGUCAGCCAGCCACCCUCCUCCGUAUGUCAGCCAGCCACCCUCCUCCAUAUGUCAGCCAUCCUCCUCCAUAUGUCAGCCAG